rnacentral:rRNA from 1 species
AGGACGAACGCUGGCGGCGUGCCUAACACAUGCAAGUCGAACGGACUGAUUCGCUUCGGUGAUGAAAGUCAGUGGCGGACGGGUGAGUAACGCGUGAGUAACCUGCCUUACAGAGGGGGAUAACGUUGGAAACGAACGCUAAUACCGCACAACACAUUGAUGUCGCAUGGCAUUGAUGUCAAAGGAGCAAUCCGCUGUAAGAUGGACUCGCGUCCGAUUAGAUAGAUGGCGGGGUAACGGCCCACCAUGUCGACGAUCGGUAGCCGGACUGAGAGGUUGAACGGCCACAUUGGGACUGAGACACGGCCCAGACUCCUACGGGAGGCAGCAGUGAGGGAUAUUGCACAAUGGGCGAAAGCCUGAUGCAGCCAACGCCGCGUGAGGAAGACGGUUUUCGGAUUGUAAACCUCUGUUCUCAGUGAUGAUAAUGACAUUAGCUGAGGAGAAAGCCACGGCUAACUACGUGCCAGCCGCCGC